AACGAACGCUGGCGGCAUGCCUAACACAUGCAAGUCGAACGAUGCCUUCGGGCAUAGUGGCGCACGGGUGCGUAACGCGUGGGAAUCUGCCCUUCGGUUCGGAAUAACUCAGGGAAACUUGAGCUAAUACCGGAUAAUGACGUAAGUCCAAAGAUUUAUCGCCGAAGGAUGAGCCCGCGUAGGGUUAGGUAGUUGGUGGGGUAAUGGCCCACCAAGCCGACGAUCCUUAGCUGGUCUGAGAGGAUGAUCAGCCACACUGGGACUGAGACACGGCCCAGACUCCUACGGGAGGCAGCAGUGGGGAAUAUUGGACAAUGGGCGAAAGCCUGAUCCAGCAAUGCCGCGUGAGUGAUGAAGGCCUUAGGGUUGUAAAGCUCUUUUACCAGGGAUGAUAAUGACAGUACCUGGAGAAUAAGCUCCGGCUAACUCCGUGCCAGCCGCCGCAGCAAGAC
rnacentral:rRNA from 1 species